ACGGCCUGCUCGGGGUUCCCGACGCGGGCGCGUUCCUGGCCCGCCUGACCCGGCUGGAUCCGGGAGCGCCGGUCCGGCUCCGGUCGGCCGGC
rnacentral:tRNA from 1 species